AGGGCAUGUUGUGGAAAAUUUCUCAACAACCGCUUAUACCUGUCCCAUGCUUCAUACAAGGAUUCACCGCCUUUUUAUUCAAAGUUGGAGAUGUUCGCCUUUAGUUUU